rnacentral:piRNA from 1 species
UUGAACACCUCGGGUGAUCUGCUGGACUC